rnacentral:rRNA from 1 species
UACGUAGGGUGCAAGCGUUAAUCGGAAUUACUGGGCGUAAAGCGUGCGCAGGCGGUUAUGUAAGACAGAUGUGAAAUCCCCCGGGCUCAACCUGGGAACUGCAUUUGUGACUGCAUCGCUGGAGUGCGGCAGAGGGGGGUGGAAUUCCGCGUGUAGCAGUGAAAUGCGUAGAGAUGCGGAGGAACACCGAUGGCGAAGGCAGCCCCCUGGGCUAACACUGACGCUCAGGCACGAAAGCGUGGGGAGCAAACAGG